GGGUUGUGAGGUUAAGCGACUAAGCGUACACGGUGGAUGCCCUGGCAGUCAGAGGCGAUGAAGGACGUGCUAAUCUGCGAUAAGCGUCGGUGAGGUGAUAUGAACCGUUAUAACCGGCGAUUUCCGAAUGGGGAAACCCAGUGUGUUUCGACACACUAUCAUUAACUGAAUCCAUAGGUUAAUGAGGCGAACCGGGGGAACUGAAACAUCUAAGUACCCCGAGGAAAAGAAAUCAACCGAGAUUCCCCCAGUAGCGGCGAGCGAACGGGGAGGAGCCCAGAGCCUGAAUCAGUGUGUGUGUUAGUGGAAGCGUCUGGAAAGGCGUGCGAUACAGGGUGACAGCCCCGUACACAAAAAUGCACAUAUUGUGAGCUCGAUGAGUAGGGCGGGACACGUGGUAUCCUGUCUGAAUAUGGGGGGACCAUCCUCCAAGGCUAAAUACUCCUGACUGACCGAUAGUGA
rnacentral:rRNA from 1 species